rnacentral:rRNA from 1 species
CAGCACCUCAAGUGGUCAGGAUGAUUAUUGGGCCUAAAGCAUCCGUAGCUUGCUUUGUCAGUUUUCGGUUAAAUCCAUACGCUCAGCGUAUGGGCUGCCGGGAAUACUGCAAGGCUAGGGAGUGGGAGAGGUAGACGGUACUCGGUAGGAAGGGGUAAAAUCCUUUGAUCUAUUGAUGACCACCUGUGGCGAAGGCGGUCUACCAGAACACGUCCGACGGUGAGGGAUGAAAGCUGGGGGAGCAAACCGGAUUAGAUACCCGAGUAGUCC